GAUACAUUUCUCACAAAAUUAAAAGAUUGCAAUUUAAAAGUUAGAUAGUCAUGUAGGAUCUGUCUCCUACAGUCAAUCUAUAACUACAUACCCUUUUGAAAUUUUAUUUGAAGGUGAGAUUACCCAAAAAGGCUUUGAUAACAACAUAAAAAAGCUCCUGACAGCAGAAAAAUCAGAUGACACUACUUCAACACGUGGCAAUGAAUUUCUCAGUGCAGCAGAGGCCUUUGGUAAAGCCAAGAAACUACUACAGCCUCAAGUAAAGAAAAGGCAGUUUCCAUUGAAUGAUAAACGUUUGGACCAUGGCAAAUCAUUAUUGAAGGUUAGUUAAAAAGUGAA